CAAAUGUAUGCAGACUCAGAACCUCUCGUGUGUAAAAGCGAUGAAUGGAGAGAAUCUACCAAUGAACACAGCUGUUACAGUAACACCUCAGUUCACAAAUGCUUGUUUAUAAACAAUUCCAUCCACAAACACAAAAGCAUUGGGCAAAAUUUUGCUUCAGUUUGUGAACUCUGCGUCGGAUGAUGAAUGCAACCACCUCCAUCUUCCCCACCAAAACAC
rnacentral:lncRNA from 1 species